rfam:Lactobacillus panis DSM 6035 NODE_39, whole genome shotgun sequence.
GGGGAUGUUUUUUGGAUUCGACAGGUAUAGGUCGAGUUUCAACUGCGUUUCGAAGGUUGCGUCUUCGUAAAAACGCUCAGUUUUAAAUUAUAACUGCAAACAAUAAUUUAAACGCUUACGCAUACGCUGCCUAACAAGUAGCGCGCGUAGAUCUACUUCGGGUUCGUCCAUGAUGCGAAUGUAGGUUUUAUAUGUUAGUGGACUACGCUUCCUGCUCCCGUUUGAAGCAGUAAGAAGAGACCAAUCAAACUAGCUAGCCAUGGUUGCCCUGAUCAACGGCGUUUUGACUAGUGAAACUUAAAUAGUUGAGAUACGAACGUAGAGGUUGAAAUGGCGAUAUGCUUGGACACGGGUUCGACUCCCGUCAUCUCCAUAA